rnacentral:rRNA from 1 species
GAUGAACGCUGGCGGCGUGCCUAAUACAUGCAAGUCGAGCGAACAGACGAGGAGCUUGCUCCUCUGACGUUAGCGGCGGACGGGUGAGUAACACGUGGAUAACCUACCUAUAAGACUGGGAUAACUUCGGGAAACCGGAGCUAAUACCGGAUAAUAUAUUGAACCGCAUGGUUCAAUAGUGAAAGACGGUUUUGCUGUCACUUAUAGAUGGAUCCGCGCCGCAUUAGCUAGUUGGUAAGGUAACGGCUUACCAAGGCAACGAUGCGUAGCCGACCUGAGAGGGUGAUCGGCCACACUGGAACUGAGACACGGUCCAGACUCCUACGGGAGGCAGCAGUAGGGAAUCUUCCGCAAUGGGCGAAAGCUUGACGGAGCAACGCCGCGUGAGUGAUGAAGGUCUUCGGAUCGUAAAACUCUGUUAUUAGGGAAGAACAAAUGUGUAAGUAACUAUACACGUCUUGACGGUACCUAAUCAGAAAGCCACGGCUAACUACGUG